AGAACGAACGCUGGCGGCAUGCCUAAUACAUGCAAGUCGAACGAACUCUUCGGAGUUAGUGGCGCACGGGUGCGUAACGCGUGGGAAUCUGCCCCUUGGUUCGGAAUAACAGUUGGAAACGACUGCUAAUACCGGAUGAUGACGAAAGUCCAAAGAUUUAUCGCCAAGGGAUGAGCCCGCGUAGGAUUAGCUAGUUGGUGAGGUAAAGGCUCACCAAGGCAACGAUCCUUAGCUGGUCUGAGAGGAUGAUCAGCCACACUGGGACUGAGACACGGCCCAGACUCCUACGGGAGGCAGCAGUGGGGAAUUUGGACAAUGGGGGAAACCCUGAUCAGCCAU
rnacentral:rRNA from 1 species